CGCGUAGGCGGUUUUGUAAGUCGGAUGUGAAAUCCCCGGGCUUAACCUGGGAACUGCAUUCGAUACUGCAUAACUAGAGUAUGGUAGAGGGAAGUGGAAUUCCGGGUGUAACGGUGAAAUGCGUAGAUAUCCGGAGGAACACCAGUGGCGAAGGCGACUUCCUGGGCCAAUACUGACGCUGAGGUGCGAAAGCGUGGGGAGCAAACA
rnacentral:rRNA from 1 species